rnacentral:rRNA from 1 species
AUGGUCAAGCUACAAAGAGCACAAGGGGAAUGCCUUGGCACCGAGAGCCGAAGAAGGACGUGACUAACUGCGAUAAGCUACGGGGAGCUGUAAGUGAGCGUUAUAUCCGUAGAUUUCCGAAUGGAGCAAUCCGGCCAGAGGAAAGUCUGGUCAUCAUAUACUGAAUACAUAGGUAUAUGAGGGGAACCGCCUGAACUGAAACAUCUAAGUAGGGCGAGGAAGAGAAAUCAACUGAGAUUCCGUAAGUAGUGGCGAGCGAACGCGGAAGAGGCCAAACCUAAUGUAGUAAUAUGUUAGGGGUUCGGACAGUAUAAUGAAUUGUCGAGAUUUAGCCGAAUGUCAUGGGAAGGGCAAUCAAAGAAGGUGAAAAUCCUGUAGGCGAAAAGUUAAGACAUCAGACUGUAUCCAGAGUACCGCCGGACACGUGAAACCCGGUGGGAAUAUGGGGGGACCAUCCUCCAAGCCUAAAUACUACUCGGUGACCGAUAGAGAAGAAGUACUGUGAAGGAAAGGUGAAAAGCACCCCGGAAGGGGAGUGAAAGAGAACCUGAAACCUUGUGUUUACAAGCACCGAAAGUUCAUCAACGAACGAUCGGGUACCUUUUGUAGAAUGGUCCGGCGAGUGAAUGUAACUGGCAAGGUUAAGCACUUAAGGUGUGAAGCCGUAGCGAGAGCGAGUCUAAAUAGGGCGUAAGAAGUCAGUUGUAUUCGACCCGAAACCGGGUGACCUACCCAUGUCCAGGCUGAAGUGCAGGUAAAACUUCAUGGAGGGCCGAACCGACUCCCGUUGAAAUGGUAGCGGAUGAGGUGUGGGUAGCGGAGAAAUUCCAAUCGAACCCGGAGAUAGCUGGUUCUCUCCGAAAUAGCUUUAGGGCUAGCCUUGGAAUAGAUUACUGGAGGUAAAGCACUGAAUUGGCUAGGGGCCGAGAGGUUACUGAACCUUAUCAAACUAAGAAUGCCAGAUAAUCGUUUUCCAGGAGUCAGACAGUGGGAGAUAAGUUUCAUUGUCAAAAGGGAAACAGCCCAGACCUACAGCUAAGGUCCCAAAGUAUAGUUAAGUGGAAAAGGAUGUGGAAUUGCAUAGACAACCAGGAUGUUGGCUUAGAAGCAGCCACUCAUUAAAAGAGUGCGUAAUAGCUCACUGGUCGAGUGAUUCUGCGCCGAAAAUUUAACGGGGCUAAACUAUACACCGAAGCUUAGGAUACCGCAAGGUAUGGUAGGAGAGCGUUCUGUACGGAGUGAAGUCGUAGCGAAAGCGGCGGUGGACUGUACAGAAGUGAGAAUGCCGGAAUAAGUAGCGAGAAUUAAGUGAGAAUCUUAAUGGCCGAAAGUCUAAGGUUUUUGGAGGAAGGUUCGUCCGCUCCAAGUAAGUCGGGAGCUAAGGUCAGGCCGAAAGGCGUAGCCGAUGCACAAACGGUUGAUAUUCCGUUACCGUCUACAAUUUAAACAAAGGGACACAUACAAAGCGUUUAACCUGGGCGAUGGUUGACCCGGGCGCAAGGGACUGAAAUUAGAGUAGGGAAGUAAAUGUGGCGUAUGGCGAGAAAAGCUUUGUGUAUAGAAGUAGGCGCCCGUACCGCAAACCGACACAGGUGGACAGGAAGAGAAUUCUAAGGCCAGCGGGAGAAGGGUAGUUAAGGAACUCGGCAAAUUGACUCCGUAACUUCGGAAUAAGGAGUGCUCGAAAGAGCCGCAGAGAAUAGGCCCAGGCGACUGUUUAGCAAAAACACAGGUCUCUGCCAAAUCGAAAGAUGAAGUAUAGGGGCUGACACCUGCCCGGUGCCGGAAGGUUAAGAGGAGGAGUGCAAGCUCCGAAUUGAAGCCCCGGUAAACGGCGGCCGUAACUAUAACGGUCCUAAGGUAGCGAAAUUCCUUGUCGGGUAAGUUCCGACCCGCACGAAUGGUGUAACGAUCUGGGCACUGUCUCAACUACCCACCCGGCGAAAUUGUAGUACCGGUGAAGAUGCCGGUUACCUGCGGCAAGACGGAAAGACCCCAUGGAGCUUUACUGUAGCCUGAUAUUGGGUUUCGGAAAUCUAUGUACAGGAUAGGCGGGAGACUGGGAAGUAUGAGCGUCAGCUUAUACGGAGUCGUUGUUGGGAUACCGCCCUUAGGUUUCUGGAAUUCUAACCUGCGACCGUGAAUCCGGUCGGGGGACAUUGUCAGGUGGGCAGUUUGACUGGGGCGGUCGCCUCCGAAAAGGUAACGGAGGCGCUCAAAGGUUGGCUCAGCACGGACGGAAACCGUGCCUCUGAGUGUAAACGCAAAAGCCAGCCUAACUGCGAGGAUGACGGUCCGAGCAGUAACGAAAGUUGGAGUUAGUGAUCCGGCGGUAUGUGAAUGGAAAUGCCGUCGCUCAACGGAUAAAAGCUACCCUGGGGAUAACAGGCUGAUCUCCCCCAAGAGUCCACAUCGACGGGGAGGUUUGGCACCUCGAUGUCGGCUCAUCACAUCCUGGGGCUGUAUUCGGUCCCAAGGGUUCGGCUGUUCGCCGAUUAAAGUGGUACGCGAGCUGGGUUCAGAACGUCGCGAGACAGUUCGGUCCCUAUCUGUCGUGGGCGCAGGAUAUUUGAGGAGCUCUGUCCUUAGUACGAGAGGACCGGGAUGGACGUACCUCUGGUGCACCAGUUGUCAUGCCAAUGGCACGGCUGGGCAGCUACGUACGGAACGGAUAAACGCUGAAAGCAUCUAAGCGUGAAGCCGACUCCAAGAUUAGAUAUCCCAUUGCAUAAGCAAGUAAGACCCCUUGAGGACUACGAGGUUGAUAGGCUGCGUGUGUAAGUGUCGUGAGGCAUUUAGCUUGGCAGUACUAAUAGGUCGAGGGCUUGACCACAA